AGUCAUGUCAUAUGUAAAUGUGUAAUUUAUUCUUCUAUGAUACCAUUGUGAUUAAUACUUUUAGGAAGUAAGUCAUGCAUAAAUAUGUAGUUCUAUUCUUUUCUUCUAUGAUACCAUUGUGAUACUCUACUAAACUGUGUUAUUUUAAUUUUUCAGGACGUAAGUCCAGGUCAAAUAUAAAUUUAAUUUUUAAGAAAUAUUUUCUAUCAUCACUGUUAAUAGGAUUUAAGUACCUACGAGAGAGCUCUCAAAAAA